UCUUCUGUGGUGUAGUUGGUAGCACCUAGGUACAGUAAAUAUGUGUCCUGGGUUCAAGUCCCAGUCGGGGUAA